rnacentral:rRNA from 1 species
GACGAUGUCUAGGGGUUCUGAGAGGAAGGUCCCCCACACUGGAACUGAGACACGGUCCAGACUCCUACGGGAGGCAGCAGUGAGGAAUAUUGGUCAAUGGCCGGAAGGCUGAACCAGCCAUGCCGCGUGAAGGUCAGUGCCCUAUGGGCGUUAAACUUCUUUUGUGCGGGAGCAAUAAGGUCCACGUGUGGACCGACGAGAGUACCGUACGAAUAAGCAUCGGCUAACUCCGUGCCAGCAGCCGCGGUAAUACGGGGGAUGCAAGCGUUAUCCGGAUUUAUUGGGUUUAAAGGGUGCGUAGGCUGUGAGGUAAGUCAGCGGUGAAAUGCCCCCGCUCAACGGGGGAAGUGCCAUUGAUACUGCCUUGCUGGAAUGCGGAUGCCGUGGGAGGAAUGUGUGGUGUAGCGGUGAAAUGCAUAGAUAUCACACAGAACACCGAUUGCGAAGGCAUCUCACGAAUCCGCUAUUGACGCUGAUGCACGAAAGCGUGGGUAUCAAACAGGAUUAGAUACCCUGGUAGUCCACGCUGUAAACGAUGAUGACUAACCGUCGGCGAUACACAGUCG